CAGUAGCCGCGGUAAUACAGAGGGUGCGAGCGUUAAUCGGAUUUACUGGGCGUAAAGCGUGCGUAGGCGGCUUCUUAAGUCGGAUGUGAAAUCCCUGAGCUUAACUUAGGAAUUGCAUUCGAUACUGGGAAGCUAGAGUAUGGGAGAGGAUGGUAGAAUUCCAGGUGUAGCGGUGAAAUGCGUAGAGAUCUGGAGGAAUACCGAUGGCGAAGGCAGCCAUCUGGCCUAACACUGACGCUGAGGUACGAAAGCAUGGGGAGCAAACAGGAUUAGAUACCCCAGUAGUCCCUGUCUCUUAUAC
rnacentral:rRNA from 1 species